rnacentral:tRNA from 1 species
GUCCCAGUGGCGCAAUCGGUUAGCGCACGGUACUUAUAAUGCCGAGGUUGUGAGUUCGAGCUCACCUGGGACA